CCGUACUCUAUUCACUGGAAGUGAGUCAUUAGGUCCGGUCCAUACUCAAGAGAGUUUACAAAGGCCCACAUACCAGGAGGUAGAGCUCGUCGGGUCAUUCUAGAAGUCUGCCGAACCACAAUGCCUUUGUAGGGACUGGAGCCAGCCCUCAGGACCAGAAACAGGCUCUAACAGCUUCCUUCUCUUAUUUCUACUUUGAAAUCAGUAGUAUCUCCUCAACCUUUGUGGGAGCAGUUGUGAGGGUGUCCUCUUGAGCCAAGCCCCUAGGCAACUGACUUGAUAGUGAAGCAAACUGAAUUCAACCUAAGCAACUCAUAACCAGUACCUGAAGCUGGGCUGUAAUGAAUGAGAACGAGCGCGCUUCAAGGGUGAGAGAGGAAAAGGGACCAGGAAGUGCUCACCAGGCGCAGCGUGGGUACAGGAAUUCCUGAAGCUUGGAUUUCGCUGGCACCGUUACCACUCCCAGAGAGGAGCGGCUGGAGUUCACGGCUGGUUCCUGACAAACUUCCUAAUUAAUCUGCUGAAGAUCAGAGGAGGACUAAUCGGGGCUGAAGACUGUUGGGCCCAUCCCCCCGCCCUUUCCGUGUGUGUGUCUGUGUGUGUGUGUCUGUGUGUGUGUGUACCGCGCGCCUGUGCACACACUUACAGUGCUGAGCUUGGCAGGAGAGAGUCUCAGCCAGCGAUUCAGCACAAUAGCAUUCCUGCUGCUGCCACCUACCUUCCCGGCUUUGGGAGGAGGAAUUUUCUUCUCUUGCUUAGAAGUUUCCAGGAGUCCCCACUCCUUCUGCUGGCGGAUGCAUGGCGGAAUACACAUCUUCCAGCCCACUUUCCUAUGGGACCAGAAUCUCGGGGCCGGUGCAGGCAGGAGCUGUCUCGUGCAGAGCGGAUUAAAGCUUUCUCCGGUGGAGCCAAAGAUCGGGGGGCCUCUCAGGAGCUCAAGAUGCUCCAGGGCCCAAGACCGGCCAAGUCCAGGGGCGGCUGCAGACCUCAGGAGCACCCGCUGCAGGGUGCCAGGCUAACAACUUCCAGACAGACAGCUGCCGCACGGGAGGAAAUGCAGAGCCGAGGACAGCUGAGCAAGAGUAGGAAGUCUCUCGAAUAAGCCAUGCCCCGUGUGCCCCUUUCUCUUUUCUUUAGCAGAAGGCAGCGGGCAGGCAACAAGGGCCGGGCUUCUUUCUUUCCGCCGGGCCUGAAUCUCCAGGCCGAGAGACACCAUUAAGGAGUAUAAUUUGUUGAUCCAGGCUCUCCUUGCGUUUCAGUGCAGAGUGGCAUCGUUUUCUUUAUGACCUCGUAAAGUCACAGCCGAGAGGCCGAUUUGGAAAACAAACUGCCUCAGGUUGACAGAUAAUUAGAUACAGGGGACAUAUUAUAUGCCUUUGCAUAUAAAUGUGCUCCGAGGCGUGUUGGUUCAUCUGAAGUUGAGGUUAAAGGCGCGCCAGGUAUUCCUGACACAUCAGGAUAUAUAUUUUCAUACGGUCUCGGGCGCUGUGUUGGUUUUAUAGCCCUUUCAUCCCGAUGCUGACUGAUGGCGACCGAGCGCAACCCAACUUAAGAGGAGCGGGGCGCUCGCUCACCCAUGAGCCUCUGCGCGGCCGCUGGGCUCCCCACCCCCCCGCGACUCCCUCCCUUACCCAGCCCUGGCAGAGGGGCUGUUCUUCAGGCUUCCAUGCCUUGCGCAUGACCAAUGGCCACCCUGGGCCGGGGGUGGAAGCGGGCAGGAUCCAC